rnacentral:lncRNA from 1 species
GUGGUGACCUGGGAAUCAAUGUGUGAGGUGGUGCUAUGUAGCAGGAACCCCUCUUGCUUUGCAAAUAGUUUUUUGUUUGUUUUCCUUUUUGCCCAAUAGAGCCCUGCUCUACUGACCCUUCAAUGUGCCCGUGUGCCUAAAUAUUCCUGGUCGUGUGAAAAGAACCCAGCAGUCAAGCUCAACUUGCAGAACUGAUGGGAACCCCUUGGGAAAACUGGCCUCAAAUGUUUGUCUACACAGUCCACAUACAGGGUUCUUAACCUGCGUGGACUGGAGCCCAAAAUGCACACUGGAGGAAGUGGAUGGAGCCACGUGGAUGUCAUGCCUUAUGCAGGGGAGGAGCCUGCUCUCUUCAGCUCCUGUGGUAAUGUGGGAAUCGAUCUGUGAGGUGAGGACCUGUUAGCAGGAACCCCUCUUGCUUUGCUGAAAGUUUUAUUUUUCUUUUUGCCCUAUAAAACCCUGUUCUACUAACCCUUCAAUAUGUCUGCAUUCCUAAAUUUUCCUGGUCAUGUGACGAGAACCUAGGUUUUAGCUGAACUAAGGAGCAAAAUUCUGCAACAUAAAGUCAAAGAAAACUAUGCCUAUAUCCAUUAAAUCAAAUGUUAAAAAGCAAAUAUAAAGAAAAAGUCUUCACAGCCCUAGAGAAAAGUGAAACAUUGUACAUAAAGAAGUAAUAAUUUGAAUGGAUUGUCAGAAACCAUGACUAGAAGACAGAGGAGCAAUAUUUUCAAAUUUCAUAGAGAAAGGAAAAAAA